UACGUAGGGGGCCAGCGUUGUCCGGAGUUACUGGGCGUAAAGCGCACGCAGGCGGUCGACCGCGUUUCUGCUGACAGUCUCCGGCUUAACUGGAGAAGCGGUGGGAAGACGGGCCGACUUGAGGGCCAGAGAGGGAGACGGAACUCCGGGUGGAGCGGUGAAAUGCGUAGAGAUCCGGAAGAACACCGAAGGCGUAGGCAGUCUCCUGGCUGGUUCCUGACGCUCAGGUGCGAAAGCGAGGGGAGCAAACAGG
rnacentral:rRNA from 1 species